UACAUGGGGUGCAAACGUUGCUCGGAAUUAUUGGGCGUAAAGCGCACGUAGGCGGUUCGUUAAGUCGGAUGUGAAAGCCCUCGGCUCAACUGAGGAAGUGCACCCGAAACUGGCGAGCUUGAGUACGAAAGAGGAUCGCGGAAUUCUCGGUGUAGAGGUGAAAUUCGUAGAUAUCGAGAGGAACACCGGUGGCGAAGGCGGCGAUCUGGACGAUGACUGACGCUGAGACGCGAAAGCGUGGGGAGCAAACAGG
rnacentral:rRNA from 1 species